UUAUUUUUUUUAUUUUGAAACUAUCAACAAUAUAUUGUUUAAAAAAUAAUAAUAUACAAAAAUAUAAUAGUUUAUAACUAACCUUUAGUUCAUAUACUAUUUAAAAAUAUGUUAUUAGAAAACUAUGAAAUUUUAAUUAUUCAUUCAAAAUAUUAAUGACAAAUCAAAUUUUAAUUAUAAAUUUAAUAUUUAUAUUAAUUAUAAACAUAUUCUGAGAGAUGUAUAAAAAUCUUACCGAAAUUAAAAUUAUUAAUAUAAAAUAAUGUAUUAAUUUAGUAACAAAACAAUUUCAAAAAUCAUAUAAUCUCCCACCUCAAAUAUAGUUGUGUAAUUUUCCAAACAAUUUUGACAAAAUAUAAAAUUUAAAAAAUAAGUAUGCAAACUUAAAAUGAUAAUGUUUUAAAUUUUUCAAAAGGUAUAAUCAUUGAUAAUAAAGAAUAACUUCUUGAAAUGUAACACGGAAAAACAAACUAUGUUAUAAAAAUUAAAGUAAUCUAAUAUUUUGAAGUCUUAAUUUACUAACAAAAAAAAAUUAAUAUCAUAACUUCGAAAAAAUAUUCUAUAUCAAUAAAAUUUACUAAAAUAAUAUGAUGGAUGCUACCAUGUAUACAAUUUACUAAAAUAUUAGGUUUAUAUUCACAAUAUAUAACACUAAAAUUAAAAUUAUAUACUUAAAAUAUUUAUAAUAAUUCAAAAGUAUACAUUCAUAAAAUGAAAAAUAUCCGCACGAAUGUGCGGGUCAAAAUCUAGUUGUAUUUUAAAAUGCAGAUACCGCUUGCUCUACUCAACUUAUAUCUGUAGAGAUGGUUUGAGAUCUUAUUUAUUUACUCAUGCAAAACAUUUGCGAUUUUAUUUAUUUUAGAAAUUUGACACCUCAAAUCUACUCUAUUAAAAUAGAGUCUUAUUUGAAUAUACUGUGGCAUAUAUUAAAAUUAGACCUAUUAAAUAUGUUGUGACUAAAUAUAGACACCUUCUAUUAUACCAUCUUUAAUAAGUUUUAUAUUUAUCUUUGUUUACAUUUAUAGAGAUGGCAAUUUAGGAGUUUGCCCGCGGGACCGGCCCAUUAAGAUCUGUUGCGGGUCGGGAUUGGUCACUACAUAACUAGGCCCAUUUUUUAGCGGGCCUCGCGGGCUGAGUUUGUGCGGGUUUGGGCCGGAAGCGGGAUGGGCUCGUGUUGUACCGCGGGGCGCGCGGGAUCCGCACCCACUUCGUCAUCUUGUCUCUUCGAGCUCCCACCGGGAAAGAAACAGAGAGAACUGAUGAUUUGAAAGACGAUCUCUUCCGGCGUAUCUUCUUCUUCAAUCCACCACAACAACUUCGAUUCUCGACAACAACUUCUCCAUGCAUGGUAUUCAUCUUAUCGUUUGAUCAAGUUAUAUGUGCUCCCGGACUUUGACGAGGGAAAACGCAGCUGCUGGAGAAAGCUAGAGCGUCACAACAAUAGAAGGAAAAGGAAACCUGUAGACAGAAGAGGAGUUGCUUCAAAACAACAGCAAGUGAACAGGUUCACAGGAUUGGUCAAGCUUUGAAGAUAGGGCCCGCAGGCCGACCCGCAUAACCGCUGCUAUAGUGCGGGUCAGGAUUGGUCAUAGGGUUCAGGGCCCGUGUCCCGCGGCGGUACGACCCGCAAAGACUCAACUGAAAAUGGUACCGCGGCGGGGCGGGACAAAUGGGUUGCGGGUGAUCCCAAUUGCCAUCUACUCUACUAAAAUAGAGUCCUAUUUGAAUUUACUGUGGCAUAUUUUAAAAUUAGACCUAUUAAAUAUGUUGUGACUAAAUAUAGACACCUUUUAUUAUGUAUUUAUCUUUAUCUACAUUUACAUUACAUUAGAUUAACCCUAUUUAAUUAAAACAAGUAUCUUCCACAUAAAUAAAAAAUUGCUGAUUAGAAUUGGUUGAAUGAUUGAUUAUACCUAGGUGUAGUUUCUCAUUUUCUGGGUUUUUGAUUAUUAAAAUCUACUAGAGGCCAACCCCCGCGCUUGCGCGGGGAUAUUGAUUUUUUUUGUUAUUACCCGUUAAGUUGCCAAGGAGUUGCAAUAGUUUGUAAAGUUGUUAUUGAAACUGUGCAGUAGGUGUGAGACUUUAAGUUGAAUUGUGUAUUGUUUCGUGGGUUUUUUUUAGUAAACUGGAGGUCGCUUUGGUGACUAAAACUGGUUAAAAUGUGGUGAAUUUAUGAGCGUUAUUUUUAGUGUUUAAAUGGCUGAAGGUAUAUUUAUAUGUUUGAUGUUUAUAUGUUUGAUGUUUCUCUGAAUUUGUUAAAAAGUUUUUUUCAGUAGUUUUAUAUAUGUUACAAUAAGUUUAUUGUUCUGAGUUUUUUUAUUUGGUG